rnacentral:rRNA from 1 species
ACACCUACGGGUGGCAGCAGUAGGGAAUAUUGCUCAAUGGGCGAAAGCCUGAAGCAGCAACGCCGCGUGUGCGAUGAAGGUCUUCGGAUCGUAAAGCACUUUUCUGAGAGAUGAGAAAGGACAGUAUCUCAGGAAUAAGUCUCGGCUAACUACGUGCCAGCAGCCGCGGUAACACGUAGGAGGCGAGCGUUAUCCGGAUUCACUGGGCGUAAAGCGCGUGCAGGCGGUUUGGUAAGUUGGGCGUGAAAGCUCCCGGCUCAACUGGGAGAGGUCGUUCAAUACUACCAGACUAGAGAGCAGAAGAGGAAGAUGGAAUUCCCGGUGUAGUGGUGAAAUGCGUAGAUAUCGGGAGGAACACCAGUGGCGAAGGCGAUCUUCUGGUCUGUUUCUGACGCUCAGACGCGACAGCUAGGGUAGUAAACGGGAUUAGAGACCCCGGUAAUCCUAGCCGUAAACGAUGUGAACUUGGCGUUGGUGGCUUAAACACCAUCAGUGCCGAAGCAAACGCGAUAAGUUC